CAGCAGUGGGGGAUAUUGCACAAUGGGGGAAACCCUGAUGCAGCGACGCCGCGUGAGUGAAGAAGUAUUUCGGUAUGUAAAGCUCUAUCAGCAGGGAAGAAGAUGACAGUACCUGACUAAGAAGCCCCGGCUAACUACGUGCCAGCAGCCGCGGUAAUACGUAGGGGGCAAGCGUUAUCCGGAUUUACUGGGUGUAAAGGGAGCGUAGACGGUUAUGUAAGUCUGGAGUGAAAGCCCGGGGCCCAACCCCGGGACUGCUUUGGAAACUGUGUAACUAGAGUACAGGAGGGGCAGGCGGAAUUCCUGGUGUAGCGGUGAAAUGCGUAGAUAUCAGGAGGAACACCGGCGGCGAAGGCGGCCUGCUGGACUGAAACUGACGUUGAGGCUCGAAAGCGUGGGGAGCAAACAGGAUUAGA
rnacentral:rRNA from 1 species